rnacentral:rRNA from 1 species
CGGACUUCCUGGGCGUAAAGGGCUCGUAGGCGGCCCACUAAGUCGGAUGUGAAAUCCCCAGGCUUAACCUGGGAACUGCAUCCGAUACUGGAUGGCUUGAAUCCGGGAGAGGGAUGCGGAAUUCCAGGUGUAGCGGUGAAAUGCGUAGAUAUCUGGAGGAACACCGGUGGCGAAGGCGGCAUCCUGGACCGGCAUUGACGCUGAGGAGCGAAAGCCAGGGGAGCAAACGGG